GACGCUGAUGGACGAAAGCGUGGGUAGCGAACAGGAUUAGAUACCCUGGUAGUCCACGCCGUAAACGAUGGAUACUAGCUGUUCGGAAGCAAUUCUGAGUGGCUAAGCGAAAGUGAUAAGUAUCCCACCUGGGGAGUACGAACGCAAGUUUGAAACUCAAAGGAAUUGACGGGGGCCCGCACAAGCGGUGGAGCAUGUGGUUUAAUUCGAUGAUACGCGAGGAACCUUACCAGGGCUUAAAUGUAGAGUGACAGAUUUGGAAACAGAUUUUUCUUCGGACACUUUACAAGGUGCUGCAUGGUUGUCGUCAGCUCGUGCCGUGAGGUGUCAGGUUAAGUCCUAUAACGAGCGCAACCCCUGUUGUUAGUUGCCAGCGAGUCAAGUCGGGAACUCUAACAAGACUGCCAGUGCAAACUGAGAGGAAGGUGGGGAUGACGUCAAAUCAUCACGGCCCUUACGUCCUGGGCUACACACGUGCUACAAUGGCCGGUACAGAGAGCAGCCACUAGGUGACUAGGAGCGAAUCUACAAAACCGGUCACAGUUCGGAUUGGAGUCUGCAACUCGACUCCAUGAAGCUGGAAUCGCUAGUAAUCGGAUAUCAGCCAUGAUCCGGUGAAUACGUUCCCGGGCCUUGUACACACCGCCCGUCAAGCCAUGGAAGCUGGGGGUACCUGAAGUCGGUGACCGCAAGGAGCUGCCUAGGGUAAAACUGGUAACUGGGGCUAAGUCGUAACAAGGUAGCCA
rnacentral:rRNA from 1 species